rnacentral:rRNA from 1 species
GGAAUAUUGCGCAAUGGGGGGAACCCUGACGCAGCGACGCCGCGUGGGUGAGGAAGGCUUUCGGGUCGUAAAACCCUGUCAGAAGGGAAGAAGUGCUUGCAAGUUAAUACCUUGUAAGUUUGACGGUACCUUCAAAGGAAGCACCGGCUAACUCCGUGCCAGCAGCCGCGGUAAUACGGAGGGUGCAAGCGUUGUUCGGAAUCACUGGGCGUAAAGGGCGCGUAGGCGGCUUGGCAAGUCAGAUGUGAAAGCCCACGGCUUAACCGUGGAAGUGCAUUUGAAACUGCUUGGCUUGAGUAUCAGAGGGGAAAGUGGAAUUCCCGGUGUAGAGGUGAAAUUCGUAGAUAUCGGGAGGAAUACCGGUGGCGAAGGCGACUUUCUGGCUGAAUACUGACGCUGAGGCGCGAAAGCGUGGGGAGCAAACAGGAUUA